rnacentral:rRNA from 1 species
GACGAACGCUGGCGGCGUGCCUAAUACAUGCAAGUAGAACGCUGAAGGAGGAGCUUGCUUCUCUGGAUGAGUUGCGAACGGGUGAGUAACGCGUAGGUAACCUGCCUGGUAGCGGGGGAUAACUAUUGGAAACGAUAGCUAAUACCGCAUAAGAGUGGAUGUUGCAUGACAUUUACUUAAAAGGUGCAAUUGCAUCACUACCAGAUGGACCUGCGUUGUAUUAGCUAGUUGGUGGGGUAACGGCUCACCAAGGCGACGAUACAUAGCCGACCUGAGAGGGUGAUCGGCCACACUGGGACUGAGACACGGCCCAGACUCCUACGGGAGGCAGCAGUAGGGAAUCUUCGGCAAUGGACGGAAGUCUGACCGAGCAACGCCGCGUGAGUGAAGAAGGUUUUCGGAUCGUAAAGCUCUGUUGUAAGAGAAGAACGAGUGUGAGAGUGGAAAGUUCACACUGUGACGGUAUCUUACCAGAAAGGGACGGCUAACUACGUGCCAGCAGCCGCGGUAAUACGUAGGUCCCGAGCGUUGUCCGGAUUUAUUGGGCGUAAAGCGAGCGCAGGCGGUUAGAUAAGUCUGAAGUUAAAGGCUGUGGCUUAACCAUAGUACGCUUUGGAAACUGUUUAACUUGAGUGCGAGAGGGGAGAGUGGAAUUCCAUGUGUAGCGGUGAAAUGCGUAGAUAUAUGGAGGAACACCGGUGGCGAAAGCGGCUCUCUGGCUUGU